GAUGAACGCUGGCGGCGUGCCUAAUACAUGCAAGUCGAGCGAACGGACGAGAAGCUUGCUUCUCUGAUGUUAGCGGCGGACGGGUGAGUAACACGUGGAUAACCUACCUAUAAGACUGGGAUAACUUCGGGAAACCGGAGCUAAUACCGGAUAAUAUUUUGAACCGCAUGGUUCAAAAGUCAAAGACGGUCUUGCUGUCACUUAUAGAUGGAUCCGCGCUGCAUUAGCUAGUUGGUAAGGUAACGGCUUACCAAGGCAACGAUGCAUAGCCGACCUGAGAGGGUGAUCGGCCACACUGGAACUGAGACACGGUCCAGACUCCUACGGGAGGCAGCAGUAGGGAAUCUUCCGCAAUGGGCGAAAGCCUGACGGAGCAACGCCGCGUGAGUGAUGAAGGUCUUCGGAUCGUAAAACUCUGUUAUUAGGGAAGAACAUAUGCGUAAGUAACUGUGCACAUCUUGACGGUACCUAAUCAGAAAGCCACGGCUAACUACGUG
rnacentral:rRNA from 1 species